CCUACGGGCGGCAGCAGUGAGGAAUAUUGGUCAAUGGCCGGAAGGCUGAACCAGCCAAGCCGCGUGAAGGACGAAGGUGCCAAGCAUUGUAAACUUCUUUUGUCAAGGGACAAAAUCAGGCUCGAGAGCCUGACCGAGGGUACUUGAAGAAAAAGCAUCGGCUAACUCCGUGCCAGUAGCCGCGGUAAUACGGAGGAUGCGAGCGUUAUCCGGAUUUAUUGGGUUUAAAGGGUGCGUAGGCGGACUGUUAAGUCAGCGGUAAAAGCCCGGGGCUCAGCCCCGGCGAGCCGUUGAAACUGGGGAUCUUGAGUGGGCGAGAAGUAUGCGGAAUGCGUGGUGUAGCGGUGAAAUGCAUAGAUAUCACGCAGAACUCCGAUUGCGAAGGCAGCAUACCGGCGCCCGACUGACGCUGAGGCACGAAAGCGUGGGGAUCGAACAGGAUUAGAUACCCUUGUAGUC
rnacentral:rRNA from 1 species